rnacentral:rRNA from 1 species
UUAUACAAUAAAUAUUAAUUAAUAUUUUGGUUAAUUUGAGUUAAAUUUUUUGUGGGUUUACUUUUGGAAUUUUUAGGUGAAAUUUAAAUUUUUAUUAGGUCUUUUUUGAUUCUCUUAAAAUCAAAUAAUAAACUAGGAUUAGAUACCCUAUUAUUUUGUUCGUUAGUUUUCCUGGGUAGUAUUAGUUAUGUUCUUUAAACCUAAAGAAUUUGGCGGUAUUUUAGUCUUUUUAGAGGAACCUGUCCCGUAAUCGAUAGUCCUCGUUUUAUCUUUCUUUUUCUUGUUUAGUAUGUAUAUCGCCGUUAUAAGUUUAUUUUUUUAGAAUUUAAUUUACUUUAUAGGUUAUUUUCUUGUAUUUC